rnacentral:misc_RNA from 1 species
AGUCGCACCGUCGCGCGUCGCGUAUGGUAUAAGAUGCGCGUAACGUAUAGGUAUACGUUACAGGGAUCGUUGCCACUUAUAAAUUCAAUCGUACUCGCUCCGUUUUCAUAUCGCGUCAUGCCUAAGACCAGAGCCGAGCUUCUCCUGGAUAUGUACGCUCGCACGGACGGGGGUGUUGCACGCGCUUACGAAUUAUGCGUGGCAGGAAUGGCGGAGAAGGUGCGCGAGGCGUCUCUCCGUGGCGAUGUCCCGCGUCUCGCUCGCCUCCUCGACGACGCCGUAAAACCGCUUCCGGACGAGCGAGGAACGAGUCCGCUUCUGCUAGCUGCCGCGGGAGGACACGCGGAUGCUUGCGCGACCCUCUUAUCGCAUGGGAGCGACGUAAACGCCGCUGACAACUCGGGUUCGGCCCCGCUCCAGAGAGCUGCCGCCGAAGGACAUCUCGACGUUGUGGAACUUCUUCUCAAGCAUGGCGCCGAUAUCGGCAAACAGGAUACCGUCCACGGGAACUCGGCCCUCCACGAAGCGUCUUGGCGAGGUUACAGCCGUACGGUUUCUGCCCUUGCGAAAGCUCUCGGGACUCACAGAGCUCCCCUUCACGCGCGCAAUCUGACCGGUUUUGCACCUUUGCACCUCGCUUGUCAAAACGGACACAAUCAGAGCUGCAGGGAACUCCUUCUCGCAGGAUGUAAUCCCGAUCUACAAAACAACUACGGAGACACGCCUUUGCACACCUCCGCGCGCUACGGACACGCUGGAGUUACAAGGAUUCUCAUCUCGGCGUUGUGUCGUGUGUCGGAUCAGAAUAAAAACGGCGACACUGCCCUGCACAUCGCGGCAGCAAUGGGACGGAGAAAAUUGACGAGGAUCCUGUUGGAAGCGGGCUGCGACAGAACCUUGAGGAAUAAACAGGCGGAAACAGCGAAGGACAUCGCACGUAGAAAAAAUCUAUCCGAAAUUUUAGAUAUCAUAUGUAAAGCCCGUAGUAGAAACAGGGCUCAAGCUAAAGGCAGGGACGAAGAAUCCAAGGACGAUAAGUCAAUGGAUCGGGGAUUUACCGAUAAAAUAGACUCGCACCAGAAAAGCGGCAAGGGGAAUAAAAAACGGGAGAAGACCGGCAGCGGUACCAGCGGAAGUAGAGACGGUCAUUCUAAGAAGGAAAAAAAGAAACUGAAGGGCGGUAAACAGCACAAAGUGCGCUUCGAAAAAGCUGUUGGAAAACAGUGGUCUCCUUACGGGUGUCAUUACUAUCCGGAUCCCGAAGCUUUCCCUCAACCGAGACUGGAUUCUCUGCCGUCGGAUCCUCUGGCGCGGGGGGAACAGUAUUACCUCGAUCUAGCUGGGAACAUUCGUAAGGGACCGGUGGGUGUCGGGUACACCUGUUACUGCGCACCAUUUUUCCGACACAUGGAAGCCAAGUUGGAGAGAGACAAAGCUGAGCUGAAAGCCCACAUAGAUCAGGCGCACGAAAGACUGGAUCUAAAAGUCACCAAUUUGGAACGACGUACGAGAGGUCAGAUUUCCGAAUUGACCAGAUGCGUCGUUGCCGAAAGGGCGAGAUGCGACGAAAGACAUUUGCAUUUGCAACAGUGGCUUUCCAGAGGAGGUCGCGGUAGGCGCAGUGAAAGACCACCGCGCCCCGUCAGUGCGAAUCCACAACCUCCGACCAGGGCAAGAUCCUUAGAGGACUUACUCGACGACAGACCACAGGAUCGAAGCUUCGAAAUUCCCGGCGAAACCCCGGGUCGCGGUGGAAGCCUCCAUGAUCUGGAUAUUCCCGCUAUUCCUAGACUCAGCAAGUCCAUGAGAGACCUUCCCUCGGGAAGUGGAUCCGUCAGACCGGCCUUGAGGGUUUUAGAUGUACCUUCCCGACUCGACCCAAGUUUCGAUGCGGCGCUAAAAACCGAUCGAACUUCUCCUUUGGGAAAAGCUGUGUCACCGUCACUCGGAUCGAAACACCAAGUACUCGAGUCACAGUUCUCGAGCUCCGAUGGUCAUGUGACGAGCUCUCGUCGCAUGGGAGUGGUCAACACGCGUUCCAAAAAUAGCGAGGAACAUCCAUGCGGCGAUUGGCGCAGAGCUGCUCCGGGUCGGCGGAGCGUUCACGAGAUGAUACAGCGUUUUCAAAGUGUACCUGGAAUGCAUAACGGAUGGAGAGGAGGACAGCGAUCGGGAAGUAGCGAACCGACUAGUCCGGACCACAGCCAAAGUUCACAAAAUCUUAGAGUACAGCCUCAGGGAGGAAUUGGUAAUGGAUGGCGUGGGGAAGGAGAGGGUAACGAUUCAGAAAGCAGCGAAGGUGAGGACGACGUCGUACAGCCGGAACCUGUUAACGAAGGACCAGCGCCGAAGGGGAUGCCGUCCGAUGAUGUCCCUUACGAGACUAUAGCCAGAUUGCCGUACAGGUCUCGUAACGCAGUUUACAGCCCUACACCACCUUUACACGAUACACAUAACGAUUCGGGUUACAGUACACGCAUGUACGGGUCGAGCAAAGGCGCAUCACCUUCUCUGUCAGGUCAACUAGAUUGUGAUGGGAUCGUAACGGGCACCUCUCAGAGCAUCUACCCGAGUGGGGAACAAUUCGCUGCUUUAUUGGAACAACCGAGAGGACGUGAUCUUACGUCCUACGAGCGUACAGCUGACAAUGUUGUGAUAAAUAUUGGCGCAGCAAGUUUAGUUUGAUAAGAAUACAAUCACCGAAAAUAAUUGAUUGAAUGGAAGCGAACGGAGAAAAUUCAUCGGAGAAAUUCAGUCAAUGAUUUCAUGAAAAAAUGCGGCAUUCGCAAAUUGUUGCAACACUUUUAGCGCACACUAGCCGCAUGGAACUGUAAGCGUACCGAUAACGUUGAUUUAUCACGCCCAAGUUUUUGUCUCGUCGUUUCCCAGAACACAUGAGAUACUUACGAUGAGAUUGGCGAACACUUUUGUCAAUAAACCCUCCAUUCGUUGAAUAGAGGACUCAAAAAAUGUAGGUAAAAUAUACUCGCCAUACAUCAACUGAUUGGAAAUUGUUUAAUAAAAGAUUAUUUAUUUUU